GCAGAAUGAGCCUCCUGUCACCAGCCCAGAGCUCUCAGACAGAAUUGAGUUCCUGUACAGUAGGACUUUCCACUCAUGUCUGUGGUCUAGGAGGAGAUUGGGUUGGGCAAACACCAGGCACGAUGGAGCAACCAUUAACCCUGGAGUUGUGAAGACAGGACCACAAGCUGAGAGAGGGCAGCAAUGGAAACCCAGCCAAACUAUUAAUGGAAGGCUGGGUCCCAUUCUUUAUUAUCCUUCUGUGGUCUCGUCACCAGCAGGGUGAGCCAAAGCCGAGGGCAAGAACACGCUGGGUGACCUUCCACACCCCAAAUGCAAGAUCAAGUGCUGUGGAGAAGGAGAGCUGAAACCUAAUAUUUCUGGAGGCUGGAAGUCUGAGAUCCACAUGCUCCCAAAGGACCCACUUCCUAAAAUCAUUACUUUGGAGUCUAGGAUCUCAACAUAUGAACUUUGGGGGAUGGGGACAGAAACAUUCGGUCCAUUGCAGAGGAAGAGCCUGUGUUAAUAUGAAAGAGUCAGAAAAACUUCUUUGAAAAGCCAAUCCUUUGCUUUCUGAGGGUGAGUGAAGAUUAAGCAGAAGGAGCAGUUUAAGGCAGCAGGAAAUGCUAGGGUGAAGACUCUUGAAGGAAAAAAUGAAGGCCAGUCAGUGUGGCUGGAGUGAAAAAAUCCAGGAAGAUACUGCACAAGUUGACGCUAGUGAGGAGGCAUGGCCAUGGUGAGGGUUUUGGCCUUUAUUGUAAGGAUGAAGGGAAGACACUGAGAGGUUUAAGAAGGGGCAGAAUGGAACAGACAACAGGACUGUCAGGGAACAUCCAUUUUAACAAUAUCACCUUGCUGCCAUGUGGAGAAUUGAUUGAAAGAGGGCCACGGUGUGUGGGAGACUCACUGCGAGCACCUCACAUUAAUCCAGACAUGAUGGCAGCUUGAACUAGGAUAUUAGCUGAAGAAAGGGAGAAAAAUAGAUGACUUGAGUGAUGUAGAGAUAUAAAGGCCAUAGGAGCUGGUGAUUGAUUUCAUAUGAGCAGUGUGGCAUCACAGGCAUCUUCCAGGUUUAUGGCUGGAGCUCUGGAUGGACUGUGGUGCUGUUGAAGCCAGAACCAGACCACGUUUGUGGGAAAGACAAUAAAUCGAGCCAAUUAGGAUGGGGAGGGGUGUUCAAUAGUGCAGAGACAAACCUUGAUUGAGGAAAAUAUGAGAAGGCUACAUUUAGGAGGCAGGAUUUGAACCAGGCCUUCAAUACAUCCAGAAAUCAGAGCCAGGCAUAGUGGGGAAAUUGCAGGGGAAGUGAGGUUCCCAACAGAGGGAGCACCCAGAGCCUUAUGGGGGAUCUUGGCAUUUUUAUUCCAUUUUUGUUUUAAGUAAACUUUGCAUUGAAGUUCAGCAUACCUAUAGAAAAGUGCACAAUUUAUAAAAAUACAAAUCUAUAAAAAUUUAAGAAAACAUAUCAUCCAGUUUCUUUGGGAAGGGGUUCAUUUUUUUCCCCUAAUUUUCUAUUUUAACUGCAUCUAGUUUUCUGAUUGAAAGUGACAUUGAAUUCCUGGAAGUAAGCUGGGAAGAAAAACUCAUUCUAUGAGUGAAUACACUUGGCAAGAAGUAGUGGGGCUGUAAUUGUGAUAGUAACAGUGUUACUAGAAAACAUCGGUGACUGCUAUUGUUAUGUGUUAUGCUGACUAUAAUUUGUACUGCAUUAGAGGAACGUAAUCAGAGAAGACUUGGAGAUAUCAAGUCUUGGAGUAUUACUGAUAAAUAAAUAGAAGUAAUUCUAGACUGUACAAGAAAGAGUUCAGUUUUAGAAAUUUUAAGUUUCGAGUGUUUACUCAAAACUCAUACAGAAGUGGAAAUGUCUGGAAGAACAAAAGGACAGAAGAAUGCAUGGGUGAAAAAUCAAAGGAGGGAUCUUGGCUCCAGGAGACAUGUGUGAGUUCUGCUGUGGGGCUACAUUUAAUCAUGUCAGAGUUGAGGUUCUUGCUUUAGGAGCAGUUACUUAGAAUGAGAUGUCCGGGAUUUGUCUUUUUCUUUUAUUUUACCCAGAAAGAAAUGGAAGUAACUAGAGUGUCUGUUAUACUGUUGCAAAUGCGGUUCUGGAGCAACAAAGAUUGAUCAAAGCUGGAAGCAGGGCUUUGGGUAUUGUCUGUUUUCAGAGAGUAAUUGAAGCCACAGGUCGGACAAAAUGGUCUGGGGAAUGGACAGGGAGCAAGGUGACCCCAGUGUGUUGGAGGGUGCCAGAGCUCAGGGCAGGAGUCCCAGCUGUGCAUGGUGGUGGCAGCUGCCCCGCUUGCCAAGCCCAGGUGGAUGAGGUGGGCAGUGGGUGGGGGGCACUCAUGCACCAUCCACAGAGAGGGUUAGAAGCUAGAGUACUUUGCAGAUGUCAACAGUCGAUUGCAGACAAUUAGGAGGCUGCCUUUUUUCUCCUUCUCCCAGGACCCCUAAGACAAACUGUCUGAACCAUAACAGUUGAGUCUGAGGAUAUCAAAUAAGUAAGGCAAAGAGAGACCCCGUGGAAUAAUUGUGGUUAGUGGCUUGCGGGGCUGCGGAUGGGCUGUGGGGGGCGGGUUGCUCAAGAGAAAGAAACUUGCUUUUAAUCAAUGUGCUAAUCCAGGACAUAAGGUCUCCUUUCUCUCCCUCCCUUGUUUCAUUUCCCAGGGCUCAGUCCCCAUUCCCACCCCCUGCUCCCUCCCCAUACUGGUUGAAUGGAAAUUUGGUCCAGUUUUUUUUUUUUUUUAAUAUAGAUACAUUAAAAAACAGACACUGAUCUUCAAAGAAGGCUGCAAUUUCACUGGCGACGGAAUGUUUAUAGCCACAAUUUGUUUGGUUCUGAUAAAAUGCACAUGCCCCGUUAUUCCAUUUUAUUUUGCAUCCCAAGCCAGGCUUGCUUCUUACAUUGGCCUGUGCCUCUCCUAGUCAGCAAGACAGAGGGAGACAGAGAGACGGAGAGAGACAGAGAGACCUUCCUCGAGCUGUGGCUACAUCUGCCUGUGGGUGUCCUGGACUCCAUGGGCCCAGAGGUCAUUGAAUGUGGCGGAAGGAGACACAGUCCAGGAGUGAGGAUGACCAGCCAGAGGGAAUUUCAGGCACUCCCAGAGAUACGUUAUGCCCCAUCAAGAGAAACACCAGCCUUCCCAGGUCUCGCUGAAGCUAGAAAAUAAUGCCCCCAGUUCUUCUUGGGAGAUGGUGCAAGGGAGGUGAAAGAGUCUUGAAACUAAAAAAUGUGGACUUAAAUCUUAGCUUAGUCACUUUCCUGCGGUAUGAUUUGAACACAAUUUUCUCCGAAUUGGCUUCCCCGUUUGAAAACCAACAGCGUCUGCCCUACAGAACUGGUGUGAGAGUAAACAGAUUAGGACCAGGUCAGCAGGACGGAGCAUGCCCAGAAGAGAGUAGAAAGUGCAGUUUUGCCAAGGAGAGGGAAUUGAGAGGAGUAUUCUAGCCGGGAGGGCGGUGGGCACCCCAGCACACAGGCAUGAGGAAACAGCAUUGCUUGGGGGAGAAGUCUGAAGUGACUGGGUGUUUAGUUCAGAGAUAGAGCAACAGGAAAUGAAGCUGGCAGAACAAGAGGUCAGG
rnacentral:lncRNA from 10 species